rnacentral:rRNA from 1 species
CUACGGGAGGCUGCAGUGGGGAAUAUUGGACAAUGGGGGAAACCCUGAUCCAGCAAUGCCGCGUGUGUGAAGAAGGCCUGCGGGUUGUAAAGCACUUUCGGUUGGGAGGACUGCUUCUAGCACUAAUAUUGUUGGAAGUUGACGUUACCUUCAGAAGAAGCACCGGCUAACUCCGUGCCAGCAGCCGCGGUAAUACGGCGGGUGCAAGCGUUAAUCGGAAUUACUGGGCGUAAAGCGCGCGUAGGCGGCUAGAUCAGUCGGGUGUGAAAGCCCCGGGCUUAACCUGGGAACUGCAUCCGAUACUGUCUAGCUCGAGUACAGGAGAGGAGAGUGGAAUUCCACAUGUAGCGGUGAAAUGCGUAGAUAUGUGGAGGAACACCAAUGGCGAAGGCAGCUCUCUGGCCUGAUACUGACGCUGAGGUACGAAAGCGUGGGGAGCAAACAGGAUUAGAUACCCUCGUAGUC